rnacentral:rRNA from 1 species
GCAAGUCGAGCGAUCUCUCGGAGAAGAGCGGCGGACGGGUGAGUAACGACGUGGGUAACCGUGCCUCAUACACAUGGAGUAACAUACCGAAAGGUAAUGCUAAUACAGGAUAAUAUAAGAGAUUCACAUGGAUUUCUUAUCAAAGCUCCGGCGGUAUGAGAUGGACCCGCGUCUGAUUAGCUAGUUGGUAAGGUAACGGCUUACCAAGGCGACGAUCAGUAGCCGACCUGAGAGGGUGAUCGGCCACAUUGGAACUGAGACACGGUCCAAACUCCUACGGGAGGCAGCAGUGGGGAAUAUUGCACAAUGGGCGAAAGCCUGAUGCCAGCAACGCCGCGUGAGUGAUGAAGGCCUUCGGGUCGUAAAACUCUGUCCUCAAGGAAGAUAAUGACGGUACUUGAGGAGGAAGCCCCGGCUAACUACGUGCCAGCAGCGGC